rnacentral:rRNA from 1 species
ACUCCUGCGGGAGGCAGCAGUGGGGAAUAUUGUACAAUGGGCGCAAGCCUGAUGCAGCCAUGCCGCGUGUAUGAAGAAGGCCUUCGGGUUGUAAAGUACUUUCAGCGGGGAGGAAGGCGAUAAGGUUAAUAACCUUGUUGAUUGACGUUACCCGCAGAAGAAGCACCGGCUAACUCCGUGCCAGCAGCCGCGGUAAUACGGAGGGUGCAAGCGUUAAUCGGAAUUACUGGGCGUAAAGCGCACGCAGGCGGUCUGUCAAGUCGGAUGUGAAAACCCCGGGCUCAACCUGGGAACUGCAUUCGAAACUGGCAGGCUAGAGUCUUGUAGAGGGGGGUAGAAUUCCAGGUGUAGCGGUGAAAUGCGUAGAGAUCUGGAGGAAUACCGGUGGCGAAGGCGGCCCCCUGGACAAAGACUGACGCUCAGGUGCGAAAGCGUGGGGAGCAAACAGGAUUAGAAACCCCGGUAGUCC